rnacentral:piRNA from 1 species
CGUCCCCGCUCGGCGGGGUCCCCGCGUCGUC